rnacentral:rRNA from 1 species
UAGGGAAUCUUCUGCAAUGGACGAAAGUCUGACCGAGCAACGCCGCGUGAGUGAAGAAGGUUUUCGGAUCGUAAAACUCUGUUGUUAGAGAAGAACAAGGACGUUAGUAACUGAACGUCCCCUGACGGUAUCUAACCAGAAAGCCACGGCUAACUACGUGCCAGCAGCCGCGGUAAUACGUAGGUGGCAAGCGUUGGCCGGAUUUAUUGGGCGUAAAGCGAGCGCAGGCGGAUGCUUAAGUCUGAUGUGAAAGCCCCCGGCUCAACCGGGGAGGGUCAUUGGAAACUGAGAGACUUGAGUGGAGAAGAGGAGAGUGGAAUUCCAUGUGUAGCGGUGAAAUGAGUAGAUAUAUGGAGGAACACCAGUGGAGAAGGCGGCUCUCUGGUCUGUAACUGACGCUGAGGCUCGAAAGCGUGGGGAGCAAACAGG